UCCCUCUCAGGCUCGCAUCUGGAGAGCUUCCAGUAUUCUACCCGUCUCGGCUACGGGAGGCAGAGUCAAGCAGAGGCCUACCCAUUCCAUUCCUAGCUUGGACAGUGGCUAAUGAGUGGAAGGCAAUCUGCUCCGAGU
rnacentral:snoRNA from 1 species